rnacentral:sRNA from 1 species
AAAUUUUGUUUUAAAAUAUUGUUAACAAAUACGUUUAUGCUAAUUUUAAGGGAUUAAUGUGAAGUUUGUUUGUUGAUUGAUAAUGUGAUUGACAAUUUAAAUUAAGUAUUUAAAGUAAAAUUAAUUAUUUUGGAAAACAAUUAAUGCUAAUGGCAUUGGGUUGUAAAUAAGUCCAACUCUAGGAUUUAUUUGUUAAAAUGGCUGCAAAAAUGUAUAUAUAGAUUGUUUGCUAAAUACUAAUUCAACCCAGAUUACUG